rnacentral:rRNA from 1 species
AGAAUGAACGCUGGCGGCGUGCUUAACACAUGCAAGUCGAACGGAAUAUAAGGAGCUUGCUCCGAACUAUUUAGUGGCGAACGGGUGAGUAUCACGUGAGCAACCUGCCCCGAAGACUGGGAUAACACCGGGAAACCGGUGCUAAUACCGGAUGUCUUUCAAUGAUCGCAUGAUCGAUGAAAGAAAUGUUUUUUCGCUUUGGGAGGGGCUCGCGGUCCAUCAGCUUGUUGGCGGGGUAACGGCCCACCAAGGCUACGACGGGUA